rnacentral:rRNA from 1 species
GAUGAACGCUGGCGGCGUGCCUAAUACAUGCAAGUCGAGCGAACAGACGAGGAGCUUGCUCCUCUGACGUUAGCGGCGGACGGGUGAGUAACACGUGGAUAACCUACCUAUAAGACUGGGAUAACUUCGGGAAACCGGAGCUAAUACCGGAUAAUAUAUUGAACCGCAUGGUUCAAUAGUGAAAGACGGUUUUGCUGUCACUUAUAGAUGGAUCCGCGCCGCAUUAGCUAGUUGGUAAGGUAACGGCUUACCAAGGCAACGAUGCGUAGCCGACCUGAGAGGGUGAUCGGCCACACUGGAACUGAGACACGGUCCAGACUCCUACGGGAGGUAGCAGUAGGGAAUCUUCCGCAAUGGGCGAAAGCUUGACGGGGCAACGCCGCGUGAGUGAUGAAGGUCUUCGGAUCGUAAAACUCUGUUAUUAGGGAAGAACAAAUGUGUAAGUAACUAUGCACGUCUUGACGGUACCUAAUCAGAAAGCCACGGCUAACUACGUG